rnacentral:sRNA from 1 species
GUACCUGCAAAUUCAGGUGCCGGGCUUGACCUCCUGAAAACUGUUACAGGCGACAUACGACGCGCCCGCGUCUUUUUU